CCACCAGCGCUCAUAGUCAUUACGUACACGCGCACGUCGAGGCACCCUCGCACUUGUCAUGGCAUUGCAGAACUACAACCUCAGCUGGUCGGACCAGCUCAUUGAGCGGGUGGAGACGCACCUCCGCGACGUCCACAGCGCGCUCCUGCAGUACUACGAGAGCCGCGGCUACCCCACGGAGGUUGAAAGCCGCCACGCGGUGACUGCCGAGGCAGCAGCAGCGGCGGGGACUAGGGACGAAGGAGAGCGCACCACUGUUGCAGCUACUGCGGCCGCUGUCCCGUUGGAUGUCGUCAGCGCUGCCGGUAGCUUCUUGCUCCGCACCUGCGUGUACGACACGCCGUUUCCAGAUCUGCACGCGCAGCGUGGCGUCGGCGCUGACUUGGUGCUCUCCAUUCCUGCCGAGCGCUGCACCACUGCGGAUUUGAAAGGCGGCCUCUACCUCGAGCGCCGUCAGUCGUUUGUCGAUGAGAUCCAGGCCUACUUGCAGCAGCUCGUGAGCGGUGCCGCUACCGACGAGGACAUCGACGAGGACAACGAGGAGGGUCGCAGCGCGUCUUCUCGCAGUCGCCAGCGCAGCGAAAAGGCAACGCAAGAGGCAGCAAAGAGGCUGCUGAACGUGGCCGCCGCCGCGCGGCUCAGUCGCAUGGAGGUGCGUGUGGUGCCGAUUCACGGGUGCUACGCACUGACAGAAAAGCAGAUUCUGCAGCUGCGCUUCCGCCGGCGUCGCUCCGCCGCGGAAAUCUACGAGACCUUCUUCGUGAAUCUGCACUUCCGCCCCUCCGUCUUCCCUAGGCACACCGUGAGCGCGGCGGGUAUCCGCAAGCAUCCGUACUACAGCUACUGCAUCCUGGAAGACUACCUCAUGCCGCAUUAUCUGAAGAAGCUGCAUGAGGUGUGCGUCGCCAGCGCCGGUGUCCGCCGCGCAAUCGUCGUGCUCAAGUGCUGGGCUCAUCACACCGGUCUCAUGUCCGCCGCUUCGGGGCAUCCGGAGGCGCUGAACGGGUUCGUCGUUGCUGCCAUGGUGUUACGUCUGCUCGAGGAGGGCAUCGUGACGGCGGGGAUGUCUCUGGGCAACGUUGUGCGCGCUGUGUGGGUGCAGCUCUCACGUGGUUUCUUCCUUGGCACACCAGAGAAGGUCGGCGGCAGGGGCGCCCGCCCUGCCAAGGUGUCGGCGGCGGAGGAGAGGGGCGAGGUGAGUGUGCUGCGCCUCACCGGCGAGCUGCACAAUAUCCUCUUCCGCACCUCCGCUGCCUUCUUCAAGCACGUGGUGUGCUCUGCCGCGGAGGAAGCCCUGCAGCACCCGUUCGCCGUCGACGUAGUCGAUCGCGUCGCCUUUCAGCCUCUGUCGCUGCGCUACGACGUGGCCCUCACCAUCCAGCUGAACCAAGCUACCACGUCCUCUGUGGCGACGAUGGAUCGCACUCCGGAUGUCAUCAAGAAGAGCACUCUCUGGCGCCCCCCACGCGCCGAGGCGAUCCAGGACACGCUGCGAGUGCUGAAGGAAGCACUCGGUGUGCGGUGCAGCUACACCACAGCCUGGCAAACCGACGCAGACCGUCUGCAGGUUGUGGUGCAGCUCACCAGUGAGGCCGAGGGCCGCAACCGCCUCACCCGCGGCCCACCCAUCGAAGACGCCAGCGCUGUCGAGCGCUUCAACGCAUUCUGGGGAGCCGAUAUCACCUCGACACGCCAAUUCAGUGAUGGCGCCAUCUACCGCUGCGUGCUGUGGACCUUUCCGGAGGACCAGGGCACGCACACGACCGUGGCCUUGUCCGCCUCGACAGUGCUGCGCCGCGUCGUCGAGUUUGCGCUGCGCGCGCACGUCGCGCCCGAGGCGACAGUGACGGUGCUGCUUGGCGGCCUGGAUGGAUACCUCGUGGAGCGGGUCGGCGGCGAGUGGCGUGACGCCGCCCCGCUGAUGCAGCGCAGCCUCCUCGAAGCAACCAAGGCGGUGCAGUACAUGCUGCAGAGCCUGCCGCAUGGCAGCGUGCCCUGUCGCAUCGUCUCCUUCGACGUCAUCGCCGCCAGCGAGCGCCACACCGAGGUGUUCCCGGUUCGCCCGCACUUGGCUCUCACGUACACGACGGACGACCUCUCGGACGCGAGCUUCGCGGGACUGAGCACGGCGCCAACGAUAGAGCCAAUCCACUGCGUGCUUAGCAUCGACGACAACCACAAGAUCCCCGACACCAUGGAGGCGAUUGCGAUGAUGAAGGGCGCCAUCGCCGCCCAGCUGUCCAAGACGCUGCAGGCACACUACGGAGAGAACAACACCGGCACCCGGUCGCAGACGGCUCGCAGAAAGGCGGCGGAGGGUGCCAGUAGCAGCAGCGACAUUGUGCGCAGCCCAAUCCGCACCCAGUGCACUGGCCAAUCGGUCGAUAUCAUCUACCGCGGCUACCUCUUCCGCGUCUACGUCGCCCAUUACCGUGAGGUGUCUCUCCUGCGUGCAUUGAAGCGUGACACGGAGGCGAACGUGCUGGAGAUGAAGCUGCACUGGACCGCACAGCAUGCCAAGUUCAUGCGCACCAUCGCAUUCGGACACCAUAGCUACUCGCAUGCGGUGAGGCUGGCGAAGCGGUGGAUGAGUGCCAUGUAUCUCUACGAGUUUGUGCAGCCGGAAGCCGUCGAGCUGCUCGUGGCGCACGCGUACCUGCAGCCGGCGCCGCACACGCCCAAGACACCUGCCGGAGGUUUCCUGCGCUUUGUGCAGCUCCUCGUCACGCAUGACUGGUCGACCCCGUUGGUGCUCCCCUUCACCGACGACGACAGUGACAAGACCGCCGUGGCGGCGGCGGCGCUGGUGCGCAAGCUUGGCGAUCAACAGGGCAUGUUCAUCGCCACACCGUACGCGCCGGCCGCGAGCCCGUUCACGGCGCUAACGCCGCGGCCAAUGAUUAUGGGCCGUCUUGUGCAGCUUGCCCAGUCGGUGGUGGCCGUGCUGCUGCGCCAUCUCGAGGGCCACAACGCGACAGCUGGUGAGGUGGAGGCGUUCACCUCCAGCCCGUGCGCCUUCGACUUUUCGAUGAAGUUCCACCCGCGCCUGCUGCUGCAGCCUGACCGGGCCCUCAGCAUCGGCGCGGCGGCACCGUCGGUGGCAUCUGCGCAGUCCGAAGCGGCGCAUCUUAAUGGAAUCGCGCCAGUUUCUAGCGAGGCGGACGCGCUGGCCGCAGAGGAAGCUGCCGCUGCAGCCAACGCUGUCAUCCGCAUCUGGCAACUGGACGAGUUGGACGCGGACACAAACGGGCGGGAGUACAUCAAUCAGCUCGUCGAACGCGAGCCGGCAGCGCACGCCGUGCGCAUCGUCCGUGCAGCGCUGCGUGAGCGUGGUAUGAUGUUCUACGACGCGCUCGCUCCGUCCUCCCUCUACGUGGUGAGCGUCAGCGCCGAAAGGCAGCUCGCCAAAAGCCGCCAGCUGCACGACGCCAUUCUGCAGGUGGGGCGAGGCGCACUUCUGCAGGCGCCGCCGAGCGCGUUCACUCCUGUCGCGGAGACGGCGCAUGACCCGGCCGCUGCUGCACGCAUCCAGCAGGAAUCUGAGGACGACCACGAGGACGGACAUGAUUGCAGCCACCAUCAUCACCGCGCCCCCGCGCAGCGCAGGGGGAAGGUGUCUACGCCGCUCCGCCAAGCCGCCUCGGACACGAAGAGCAAGAAGGGCAAGGCGUCCGCACGCCAGUAUCCGCUGCAGGACCACAAGCGCAGUCGCAGCAGCAACGACCACUGCAGCCUGGCUGCCGCUGCUGUUGCGGAGGCAGCGCAUGCGAAGAAGGGGAAGAAGGAAACGGCGGACAGGGUCAGCCCUUCCACAGCAGCCUCGCCCACGAUAGCGGCAGCAGAGGGGCGCUCUCAGAAAGCCUCUAAGGUCAAGAAGGCUUCCAAAAAGUGACGCGGCACGUGCGCCCACGUGCAUGUGCGUCGCGGUCUUGUGUUGUCGUUGUGUUGUUUCGUCUUAAUCACCACGAAUAACGGAGCGCAACGCCAGAGCAAGGACUAACGCGUACUAACUCUCCCUCCCUCUCUCCCUGCUUCCUGUCCUUGGGCUUGCCUCAUGGUCUGCUGUGCGUUUCUUUGAGGCACGUGUGUACGUGUGUCGUGAUCGAUGGGGGAGAGGGAGAGGAGCUGCCGGGGGGUGCGCGAGUGAGGCAGGGACCGCCUCGGAGAAGAGUGGGGAUGUCUCUCUUCCACUGAAUAAGCAGCGGGGCUGCAAAGGGCGUGCAGGGGAAGACGGUGAGCGAGUUGCACGAUGGGACGGGCUGCGGUGUCUCUCAAGAGAUGUAGUGCGUACUGACUUGCCAGCCCCCUCCUGGUCCCCCACGCACCAGCAGGGGAGAGGGGGGGUAUCUCAGCCUAACACCUCACCCAUCACGCCUCUUCACCGUCUGCGCCAUUAUCCCCUCCCUCUUCUUAAUCGCAGCUGCGCCUACUUUGAGCACGGUAACAG
rnacentral:misc_RNA from 1 species